UACGAAGGGGGCAAGCGUUGUUCGGAUUUACUGGGCGUAAAGGGCGCGCAGGCGGCCCUUCAAGUCAGAUGUGAAAGCCCCGGGCUCAACCUGGGAACUGCAUUUGAGACUGAAGGGCUAGAGUUCGGGAGAGGAUGGCGGAAUUCCCAGUGUAGAGGUGAAAUUCGUAGAUAUUGGGAAGAACACCGGUGGCGAAGGCGGCCAUCUGGACCGAGACUGACGCUGAGGCGCGAAAGCGUGGGGAGCAAACAGG
rnacentral:rRNA from 1 species